CUUUGCUUUUGAUUGCUUAGAUCUGUGCUUUUCGUAGUCUCUUUGUAUUAAGAAACAAGAACCCAUUUUUAAGCGCGCCAGAGAGAAGGUAGUGAGGCUGUUGACUGUGAGUUUGAGUCCGUGUUGAGUAGAGUUCUGUGCGCUUCUGGGUUCAUCAAAACAUAACUUGUCGUUCUGAUUGAUUGCAGUUUUGAUUGAUUGUUGCUUGUUAUAGCUGCUGAAAUAGGUACACUUAUCGUUCCAUCCUGUUCGGGGUUCAUCAAUGUUUACUUGCUGCUCUUUUUCAACGUUGCCUAGAAUUUUCUUUUCGUGUGUCCCCAUAAAAUUCCAAUUGGUGGAGAAGAGCAAUCGAAGAUCAAGGAAACAAUUGGUGUACUGAGGCCUCACUUGACUAGUUCGAUUAGCGCCGUUGAUGCAAUUCAAGAGUUGGAACCAAUGGCAAUAAUGGGCUUCACUGCAGUGCGGGUCAUAGGCUCAAGUUCCGUCAUGCCAAGCUGAGGGAGUAGUUUCCCAGCCAUAGACUCUUUUAUGAGAUUCCAGAAUAGAUGGGAGGAUCAUUUUAGCUGUACAAUUUUUGUUUCUUGACCCUUGAUGUAAUCAGUUCAUGUCAAUCAAUGAAAUUUUAGUUUGCUGCAGAA